UUUUUUACUUUAAGGUAACCACAGACAAACAAGAAAUGGUGAAGUGGUUCUACAGAUAGGACUGUAAAGUCUGAAUAAAUCUUAGAAAACCCUCAUUGUUUAUUUAAAUUUUCUCCAUAAAUUGUGACUUUCAGGGGAUGAAUCUAGUUUGAAUUUCACCCAACAUAUAACAUGUCCAUUAUUCACACCAGGGAACUCUUU
rnacentral:lncRNA from 1 species